AUACCGGAUAAGCCCUUACGGGGAAAGAUUUAUCGCCGAAAGAUCGGCCCGCGUCUGAUUAGCUAGUUGGUGAGGUAAUGGCUCACCAAGGCGACGAUCAGUAGCUGGUCUGAGAGGAUGAUCAGCCACAUUGGGACUGAGACACGGCCCAAACUCCUACGGGAGGCAGCAGUGGGGAAUAUUGGACAAUGGGGGCAACCCUGAUCCAGCCAUGCCGCGUGAGUGAUGAAGGCCCUAGGGUUGUAAAGCUCUUUUGUGCGGGAAGAUAAUGACGGUACCGCAAGAAUAAGCCCCGGCUAACUUCGUGCCAGCAGCCGCGGUAAUACGAAGGGGGCUAGCGUUGCUCGGAAUCACUG
rnacentral:rRNA from 1 species